rnacentral:rRNA from 1 species
UGGGGAAUAUUGGACAAUGGGCGCAAGCCUGAUCCAGCAAUGCCGCGUGUGUGAAGAAGGCCUUCGGGUUGUAAAGCACUUUUAUCAGGAGCGAAACGCUGUCGGCUAAUACCCGGCGGAACUGACGGUACCUGAGGAAUAAGCACCGGCUAACUUCGUGCCAGCAGCCGCGGUAAUACGAAGGGUGCAAGCGUUAAUCGGAAUUACUGGGCGUAAAGCGUGCGUAGGCGGUUUCUUAAGUCUGCUGUGAAAUCCCCGGGCUCAACCUGGGAAUGGCAGUGGAUACUGGGAGGCUAGAGUGUGUCAGAGGGUGGUGGAAUUCCCGGUGUAGCGGUGAAAUGCGUAGAGAUCGGGAGGAACAUCAGUGGCGAAGGCGGCCACCUGGGACAACACUGACGCUGAGGCACGAAAGCGUGGGGAGCAAACAGGAUUAGAUACCCUGGUAGUCCACGCCCUAAAGCGAUGCGAACUGGAUGUUGGUCUCAACUCGGAGAUCAGUGUCGAAGCUAACGCGUUAAGUUCGCCGCCUGGGGAGUACGGUCGCAAGACUGAAACUUAAAGG